rnacentral:rRNA from 1 species
GGGAUAGCGGCGUCCCGAUUCGUCGGGACUUUAGCGAAAGUGCCGGUAAUACCCGAUGACCCCGUAGGAUCGCAUGAUCCAGCGGGCAAAAGCCGAGACGGUCUGGGAUCGGUUCAUGUCCUAUCAGCUUGUUGGUGGGGUAGCGGCCUACCAAGGCAACAACGGGUAGCGGGCGUGAGAGCGUGGCCCGCCACAUCGGGACUGAGACACUGCCCGGACACCUACGGGUGGCUGCAGCAACGAAUAUUCCGCAAUGGACGAAAGUCUGACGGAGCGACGUCGCGUGCAGGAAGAAGUCCUUCGGGAUGUAAACUGCUGUCAGGGGCAAGGAAUAACUGACCAGCCCCAAAGGAAGCACUGGCUAACUCCGUGCCAGCAGCCGCGGUAACACGGAGAGUGCAA